rnacentral:rRNA from 1 species
AGCGAACGCUGGCGGCAGGCCUAACACAUGCAAGUCGAACGAAGUCUUCGGACUUAGUGGCGGACGGGUGAGUAACACGUGGGAACGUGCCUUUAGGUUCGGAAUAACUCAGGGAAACUUGUGCUAAUACCGAAUGUGCCUUUCGGGGGAAAGAUUUAUCGCCUUUAGAGCGGCCCGCGUCUGAUUAGCUAGUUGGUGAGGUAAAGGCUCACCAAGGCUACGAUCAGUAGCUGGUCUGAGAGGAUGACCAGCCACAUUGGGACUGAGACACGGACCAAACUCCUACGGGAGGCAGCAGUGGGGAAUCUUGCGCAAUGGGCGAAAGCCUGACGCAGCCAUGCCGCGUGGAUGAUGAAGGUCUUAGGAUUGUAAAAUCCUUUCACCGGUGAAGAUAAUGACUGUAGCCGGAGAAGAAGCCCCGGCUAACUUCGUGCCAGCCGCCGCAGUAACAC